AGCCCAGAGCUGUCCCUGAGGUGAGGCUGAGAAUAAGUGCAAGGCAGAGGUGCUGCUGAGGAAGGAGAGCCCCGUGGUUGGGAAGAGACAGAAACUGUGAGUGCCCAUCCCCAAGAAGGACAACAAAGAACUUGGAGAGAGGGAAUGUCUGGGAACUCGGCAUCCCGAAGGCGAGAGUCAGAGGAGAAGCGACCCUUGGGAACCCCAACGCUCCCAGCAUCCCUGAGUGGGACCCCCAGCAUCUCAGGGAAGCUAUUCCCAACCCCAGAGGGGACAGACCAGAGACGGGAUUUGUCCUUCCCAAAGCUUGGGCGGAUGGAGGAGGAGGC